AAAACAGAUUUACUAUUUUGUAUAAAAGCUGUCAGAGAUAACAUAGAUACUCAAACUCUAAAUAAUUUCUUGACAGUGAAGCAACAAAAUUGUUACAAUAACGCGAAAUUCCAAAGGUCAAAAUGAAUAAAACAAUCAUUAUUUUCGUAGCUGUGAUACUUAUGGUAUCUGUGAUCCAUGCAAAUGCUGAUGGUCAUGCAAAGAUUGUCAAAAGAUCGUCGCAUGUCGCAACUCCAGCCACAGCUGCUACACCUGCUACAGCAGCAACUCCAGCCACAGCCGCAACUUCAGCUACAGCAGCAACACCAGCUGGAUAAUCUUCAUCUGUUCAGCCAAAUAUUAUAUGCUAGCUUUUCCGAUUUUAAAUAAUGGUUUCGUUUUUUCAGUUUUUGAAUAAAUUAGAAAAUUGAAUGAUAAA